CGUCACGCCAGCGGUCACGGCCCACGGGACAAGCGCUCAGCUGUCAGGCAGCAGCAGGUGUCAUGGAGGGGCCUUGGUGGUAGAAAUGUUUACGUUUUGUUCUUCAUUGGACAAACAAUGUGAUGUGGACGUGUUGUGGUGCCUUGACGUGGGCGUCGCUGCCGUGAGCAGGAUGGAAGGAGCAAGGAAGGGACGUCAGCUGCUGGCUGAGGCUGCCGGACCAUUUGUCACCACUCCCUUCCCUUUACUUUGACGCUCAGUUGGUGGCCCAAAGGAGGAAAAUGGAAGCAUGGACAGUUAACCAUCGUCAACUGUCGUAUAGAAGAUUGUGUUAAGAUAUGGAGAAACAGACCAAGGGAAGAGGAGGAAGGAAGAGGUAGAGAAAGAUGAGAAGAGGAAGAUAAGAAGGAAGGAAUCAAGUGAGAAAAGAUUAGUGUGACCUGUGUGACAUUGACCUUUUGCCGCAAGACUCCCUGGCCUGCGACUUCACUGUGACCUGAGAGGAGACGGCCACUCAACGCUGAGGUCACACGGCUACCUUCCUUAUGCAGGAAAGUCAAGCCAAGACAAGCCACGCCGCAACACAACACAACACAAGCCUUCUACAACACCUACAGCCAUCAGCAACACCCAGAGUACAAGACAACACCUGAGCCAUGAAGAAGAGUUAGGAUAGAU